rnacentral:rRNA from 1 species
AGCGAACGCUGGCGGCAGGCCUAACACAUGCAAGUUGAGCGCCGUAGCAAUACGGAGCGGCAGACGGGAGAGUAACACGUGGGAACGUACCCUUUGGUUCGGAACAACCCAGGGAAACUUGGGCUAAUACCGGAUAAGCCCUUACGGGGAAAGAUUCAUCGCCGAAGGAUCGGCCCGCGUCUGAUUAGCUAGUUGGUGGGGUAAUGGCCCACCAAGGCGACGAUCAGUAGCUGGUCUGAGAGGAUGAUCAGCCUCACUGGGACUGAGACACGGCCCAGACUCCUACGGGAGGCAGCAGUGGGGAAUAUUGGACAAUGGGCGCAAGCCUGAUCCAGCCAUGCCGCGUGGGUGAUGAAGGCCCUAGGGUUGUAAAGCCCUUUCGGCGGGGAAGAUAAUGACGGUACCCGCAGAAGAAGCCCCGGCUAACUACGUGCCAGCCGCCGCGGUAA